rnacentral:lncRNA from 1 species
CAAAUGCAUGAGUUUUGGAAAUCCUGAGAUGAUCUUGUAUUGAGAGUUCGAAGUGUUGUAUCCUACCGUGUUGGAUAUGAUAUUUUGUUCCUUCUGAGUGAGAGAAUCUCAAUAUCCAAUUCAAGAUAUCUAAAUGUUUUAAAGGAAUUGUAUUUCAAAAUCUUUUUCAAAUUUUCAACAUUAGGAUGAUAAUUGAUAGAUACGGUACCAAUUUUGGGCGUUGCGAGGGUGCUAACCCUUCCUCGUGCGUAACCGACUCCCGAAUCCUUCUUCUAAUUUUUCAUAGACUAAAAACAUUAUUUUAAUAAACCAAAAUGCUUUAUUAAAAUGAUCGAUCACAGGGUGACCUAAU